rnacentral:rRNA from 1 species
UACGUAGGGGGCAAGCGUUGUCCGGAAUCAUUGGGCGUAAAGAGCGUGUAGGCGGCCAGAAAAGUCCGCUGUGAAAACUCGAGGCUCAACUUCGAGCUGUCGGUGGAAACUUUCUGGCUAGAGUCCGGAAGAGGAGAAUGGAAUUCCUGGUGUAGCGGUGAAAUGCGCAGAUAUCAGGAAGAACACCCGUGGCGAAGGCGGUUCUCUGGGACGGUACUGACGCUAGAGAACGCGGAAAGCGUGGGGAGCGAACAUG